AGCAGCCGCGGUAAUUCCAGCUCCAAUAGCGUAUAUUAAAGUUGUUGCAGUUAAAAAGCUCGUAGUUGAACUUCGGGAUCAAUGGAUCGGUCAUGCCAUCGGUAUGUACUGGUCUCAUUGGUUCUCACCUUCUAAGGAACCAUAAUGUCAUUCAUUUGAUGUUUUGGGGAAUUAGGACUGUUACCUUGAAAAAUUAGAGUGUUUAAAGCAGGCUAACGCUUGAAUACAUUAGCAUGGAAUAAUGAAAUAGGACAUCGCAUUCUAUUUUGUUGGUUUCUAGGAUCGAUGUAAUGAUUAAUAGGGAUAGUUGGGGGCAUUAGUAUUCAAUUGUCAGAGGUGAAAUUCUUGGAUUUAUUGAAGACUAACUACUGCGAAAGCAUUUGCCAAGGAUGUUUUCAUUAAUCAAGAACGAAAGUUAGGGGAUCGAAGACGAUCAGAUACCGUCGUAGUCUUAACCAUAAACUAUGCCGACUAGGGAUCGGAUGAUGUUGAUUUUUAAUGUA
rnacentral:rRNA from 1 species